GCUGGAUAGCUCAGUUCGAAAAGCAUUAGGCUUCUGAUCUCAGGGUCAUGGGUUUGAGUCCCAUGUUGGGCA